UCGCGAAUCAUUCACAAUGGACGCAAGUCUGAUGAUGCCACGCCGCGUGCGGGAUGAAGGCCCUUUGGGUUGUAAACCGCUGUCAAGGGAGGGGAAACACCUAGUGUUAACAGCGCUAGGCUUGACUGCUCCCUAAAGGAAGCCCCGGCAAAACAUGUGCCAGCAGCCGCGGUAAUACAUGUGGGGCAAGCGUUGUUCGGAAUUACUGGGCAUAAAGGGUGCGUAGGCGGUUUGUUAAGUCACUGGUGAAAGUUUGCGGCCCAACCGUAAAAUUGCCUGUGAUACUGGCGAACUUGAGUGCGUGAGGGGUAGGGGGAACGAGCAGUGUAGCGGUGAAAUGCGUAGAUAUCGGAAGGAAUACCGGUGGCGAAGGCGUCUUCCUGGACUCUAACUGACACUGAGGCGCGAAAGCAUGGGGAUCAAACAGGAUUAGAUACCCGUGUAGUCCCUGAGCGGGCUGGCAAGGCGCGAU
rnacentral:rRNA from 1 species